CUUCCAAUUCUUAUUAUAAGACAUUUUUAAUCAAAUCAUACAUAUCAAUAUUAGUAAUUAUGUUAGUUGAUUUUAUUAGGUUUAUAAAACAAGAUCAUGAUGUGUCAUUUUACCUUUUUUACUUAUUAAAUUUUCAUGGGAGGGGUGAAUAUAUUACUCUAUAUCAAAGCUUACGCACCAAUACCAAUAAAAUUGAUAAAUGACAAAUGAAGAGUUAAGAGGUGAGAAAGAGAAUAUUUAUUAAUUAUUUAUCAAAUUUCCUUCUCAUUAUUUAACAAUAAGAAGCACGUAUUCUCACAAUAUGUAAUAGGAACAAAGGAUAAAAAAUAAAAAUUAAUACUUAAUAGAAAUUGUAUAGUAUCUUAUAAAAAGGACUAUCAUUUCCUUUUAAAUUGUGCCUUAUAAUAAGGAUCGAAGGGAAUAAGAGAUCUUAUUUUUAAAACAAAAUAAAUCAAAUCUCUGUUGCCUUUAAUAUGAAAAUUUGCAAUAUCUUUAAUUCCUAUACCCCCCUCCCUUCUCUCAAGUUGGUGCAUAUAUAUUUAUCAUGCUCAACUUGCUUAUCCAAUGCUCAAAAGUGAGCCUUGCUAGGUUCUUUGCCAAGAAGUUGGUUGUUUGUUUACUAGAAGCCACAAAUGGUAAGAAAAUAAUUUCAGCAUCUAUCAUACUAAACAAGAUUGUGAGCUAUGCUUACUACAGCUUUGCUGCCACAGUACAACAUCAAUGAGAGUUCCGCUGCCAUCUCGAGUACUUCUAGGACAAUACAAAUCCAUAGUCGUUCACAAAUUCCUUUUGCCAUUGCUCUAAAUUUAGCUCCUGCACUACUUCUAGCAACAACUCCUUGUUUCUUCCUUCCCCAUGUUACCAAAUUUCCCCACACAUAGAUGCAAUUACCUGAAAUGGAUUUUUUGUCUAUAACAGACCUUGCACUGUUGGAAAUAGGAAUAUUUUAGGAAAUAAGAACUUCUUUAAUAUUUAUUUUUCCAAGUUGCCUAGAUACUUGGUAUAGCUAGAUUAAAUGCAUCAUAGAAACUAGGAAGUAGUGGUAUCUUAAUUGUUCUCUUGUAAUUUGUGUUGGCAUUAAUUAUCUUUGUAAUUCUGCUGAAUAUAAAUAACCCAUUCUGUUGGGUGGAAUUACCGGAUAUUCAGAAAAUAUUUGUUUUUUUCUUUUAACAUGGUAUCAGAGCUCCCAGUUUAAGGUGGCUCUACUUCUGCAACAAAAUCACUUUGAAAAAGGUCUGAUUGGGCUAUUAAGCUGUCAGCAAUUUGUAAACUUGACUGGGAACUGAGUGCUGUCAAGUUUUACUGCAUUUCUCUGUUUUUUGGCAACUGUCAGAUGUUCUGGUAACUUUUUUGGUUAUUUUCAGAUUUUUCGGUGACUUUUCCGGCAGCUUUUCCAAUGACUAGCAGAUUUCUCGAGGAUUUCUCAGCAUCCUUCCAGUUACUUAUAGCUUUUUGAACUUGCAUUGGAGUUCAAUUCCCUCUAUUUUUUUCUUGUUAGGCACACCUUUAUCUCAAAAGUCUAAAUUUUCUAUUUGAUUUGCUUUUAAUUCUCUUAUCUUCUUUUAAAGAGUGUGGUGAGAUUCGAAGUGGUUUAUCUUCUACCUUGAAGUGACACUACUUGAAAAGAGUUCUUCACCUUUGAAGGUGAGUCCAGAGGUUUCUUUCUCCAUCGGAGAUUUUCAAGAAGCUUGAAGAGUGUCAAUAAGGAAAAAAUCUAGGAAGAAACUUGAAGGAAAAGCUACAACAACCAAGUUCCUCCUCGAGGCUGCUUGAAGGUGUUCUUCAUAAGGAGAGUGCAAAAACUGAUGUUCAACACACAAAAAAA